AAAAUGGUACAGCUACUUCAAUUUAUAGGAAAGGUCCAGAAUAUGCAAAUUUGUAGAAGCAGAAAGUAGAUUCAUGGUUGCUUAGGGCUACAAGGAGGGUUAGGGAAGAAUAGGGAGUGACUGCUAUUGGGUAUAGGGUUUCUUUCAGGGGGAACACAAUAUUCUAAAGUUAGAUUGUGAUGAUGGUUGUACAACCCUAUGAUUAUACCAGAAAACAUGAACUGUACACUUUAAGUGGAUGAACUGUAUCAUAUAUAAAUGAUUAUGGCCUCCUUGGCCCCAGCAGUUUUUGAGCAAGCUGCUUUCUCCAACCAGUUCCACACAGAAUUAAUGUGGUGAUUCCCAGGGUGAUUCACUCACCAAGAAAACUUUUCUAAAGCUUGCAUAUGUUAGCAAUGCUGAUGGCAGUAGGAAAAGGAGCUCACUGGGCCAUGGACUAUCCUAUAAAUUACAGAAGCUGGAGUUUCAGGAGCUUCUGGAGAGAGAGGGCUCUGUGGUGCAAUACCACAAAAGGUGGCAGAGAUGACGAGUGAGACUGGUGCUGAAGGGCACAUGCUCAGGAAGGACUGACCCUACCUGGAGACUAAAGCCUUCAGUUUAAGAUGGAACAAGCAGGGAUGAAAGAAGACAGUUUCGUAACACUAGUCUUCAGAGAGCUACCAAACUGGUGCUUUAAAUGUCUACCAACGGGGAGACGACCUGACAUCCUGUUUGACAAAGGAAAUCAAUACAGUGAUGCGGCCCUGGCAAGUCAAAAACACUGGAGAUUGGAAUUUUCUUCAAAAUGCCUAGUCCUUGGUGAAUAAAUGCUGUCUCUAACCAUCUGCUGCUGACACUUGAAGAAAGAAUUACAACCAAACUGACCUUCAUCCCGGAGAUUUACAACCAAGGGGAACAAGCUUUUCCCUUCUGUUUCCAACACCUAUGGUCUGAUAACCUAGCUACUCCAAAUGUAGCUUUCCAGCACUGAACUGGGAGAAUAAAUAUUAAAGUUAGUAUUUAGAUUAUUUAGAUUGUGUUAUUUGCCACCAUUUACCAUAUACACUCUGAAUUCUUGAAAAAAGAACCUAAAAUCUCAAGGUGGGC
rnacentral:lncRNA from 1 species